rnacentral:rRNA from 1 species
AGAGUUUGAUCCUGGCUCAGAUUGAACGCUGGCGGCAUGCCUUACACAUGCAAGUCGAACGGCAGCACGGGGGCAACCCUGGUGGCGAGUGGCGAACGGGUGAGUAAUGCAUCGGAACGUGCCCAGUAGUGGGGGACAACCAGUCGAAAGAUUGGCUAAUACCGCAUACGACCUACGGGUGAAAGCGGGGGACCGCAAGGCCUCGCGCUAUUGGAGCGGCCGAUGUCUGAUUAGCUAGUUGGUGAGGUAAAAGCUCACCAAGGCGACGAUCAGUAGCUGGUCUGAGAGGACGACCAGCCACACUGGGACUGAGACACGGCCCAGACUCCUACGGGAGGCAGCAGUGGGGAAUUUUGGACAAUGGGCGCAAGCCUGAUCCAGCCAUGCCGCGUGCGGGAAGAAGGCCUUCGGGUUGUAAACCGCUUUUGGCAGGAACGAAACGGCGACUCCUAAUACGAGUCGUUAAUGACGGUACCUGCAGAAUAAGCACCGGCUAACUACGUGCCAGCAGCCGCGGUAAUACGUAGGGUGCAAGCGUUAAUCGGAAUUACUGGGCGUAAAGCGUACGCAGGCGGCUUUGCAAGACAGGUGUGAAAUCCCCGGGCCUAACCCGGGAACUGCAUUUGUGACUGCAUAGCUAGAGUCUGUCAG